rnacentral:misc_RNA from 1 species
CGACCUUUAAGCGUUACUGCUUAGUGUUGGGAGUCUACGUACCCUGUAGUUCCUUAAAAUUAGUGGCGGAGUUGGGCCAUACUCUAAGCGUAGUAAUUUUUUUCUCGCUUUUGUAGGUGGCCUAGUCCCAGCCGUGAAACCACCACAUUUUAACUGG